rnacentral:rRNA from 1 species
CUGCAUGGCUGUCGUCAGCUCGUGUUGUGAAAUGUUGGGUUAAGUCCCGCAACGAGCGCAACCCUUAUCCUUUGUUGCCAGCGGUCCGGCCGGGAACUCAAAGGAGACUGCCAGUGAUAAACUGGAGGAAGGUGGGGAUGACGUCAAGUCAUCAUGGCCCUUACGACCAGGGCUACACACGUGCUACAAUGGCGCAUACAAAGAGAAGCGACCUCGCGAGAGCAAGCGGACCUCAUAAAGUGCGUCGUAGUCCGGAUUGGAGUCUGCAACUCGACUCCAUGAAGUCGGAAUCGCUAGUAAUCGUGGAUCAGAAUGCCACGGUGAAUACGUUCCCGGGCCUUGUACACACCG